rnacentral:rRNA from 1 species
AUACGGAGGAUGCAAGCGUUAAUCGGAAUUACUGGGCGUAAAGCGCGCGUAGGCGGCUUGUUAAGUCGGAUGUGAAAGCCCCGGGCUCAACCUGGGAACUGCAUUCGAUACUGGCAAGCUAGAGUAUAGUAGAGGAAAGUGGAAUUCCGGGUGUAGCGGUGAAAUGCGUAGAUAUCCGGAGGAACAUCAGUGGCGAAGGCGACUUGCUGGACUAAUACUGACGCUGAGGAGCGAAAGCGUGGGGAGCAAACGGGAUUAGAUACCCCGGUAGUCC